GUGAGGACGACCUCCCCUGAUGGAUAAUGGCCGGGACGACCCGG
rnacentral:ncRNA from 1 species